UAGCAACACAGCUACAGCCUCGUGUCCUACGCUGACUGGCUCUUCCCUCGGUGAGUUACUUCACUGACUCCACUGAGACAUCAGCCUCACCCACAGAUAAACCUCCCAUCCGACGGUCCGGAGCCCGUAGGUCCUGCCAGGAUGAUCCUGCCACAACUCAUCAUCGUGGUUUCCCUUUGGUCUCGGGCAAAUGGAGAAGUAGUGCUGAAGCAACCCAAUCCAGUCAUCGUUAAGGCGAAAGACAAAACGGCAUAUCUGAACUGCAAAGGAGAGAGAGCUUCCUCCUUUAAGGAUCAGUAUAUUCACUGGUACCGGCAGAGACGCGGGAACACGCUGGAGCGAAUUGUUUAUUUUUCUACGCAGGCAACUGCAGUUUACAAGCAAGGCAUUGAUUCAGAUCGAUUUAAAGUAGACAAGAGUCUUGUCGAAUCUUCUUCCAACUUAAUAAUAUACAAGCUUGUUGAGGAGGAUGUGGCAACGUACUACUGUGCCUUCUGGCACGACACAGUGAGAGAAAACUCUGACAGGUGGUACAAAAAUACGUUUUUGUGCCUCGGCACACAUGCACCAGGGUAGUAACAACCGCCACCUGCUCAGCUCCUCCUCAGAAACAAAGACUUCCAACCGGACCUGGU